UCUCAGGGGAACUCCGCCGCAGACACUCUCUUCCUGAUUCUCUUGGCUCCCAGUGCUCGCCUCGAAUCACCCCACUUUUGUUUCCCCAUGUGACUCUUCAGGGACCAGGGAAGCUAACCAUCUCUCAAGAGGAAGCUCCCCAGCACUGAGUUUUUGUCACGAGGCGUAUCUGAACUGAAAAUCUUCCCAAGGACAGCUAGCGUGAAAUGCAGUGAAAUGUCACCGGAUUCUGGAGCCUGCGUCUGCGACCCUCUGUGAGGUGACAUGGAGGUGUCAGCAAACAACCUUUAUAGGUUAUUAUCCAUUGCACCAUACUUCCGUAGUAACCUGAGUCUCCACUUCACAUUCUCGCUCCUGGGAAGGACGGUUCAACUGAAGCUCACGUGCUCACUGCCGUUCUUUCACAUUCUUUGGAAAAACGAAUGAGUAUACUCGCUGCCUCAGAAGCACUAGAAGCAAAGGAGCCGAUGAACACAGACAUGCCUCUGAGGCCAUGAGCCAAAAUCCACUAUUCUGCUUCUCAAACUGUUCUCUUCAGUGUUUGUCACACUGACAGACAGCUCACAACCCUCAUGAAGGAGUUUGAGCCACAGGACCCCCGGCCUCAGACUCAGAAACUA